UACGAGAGGCGCAAACGUUAUUCGGAAUUACUGGGCUUAAAGAGUUCGUAGGCGGCGCGGAAAGUGGGGUGUGAAAGCCCUCGGCUCAACCGAGGAAUUGCGCUCCAAACUACCGUGCUUGAGGAAGCUAGAGGUGAGCAGAACAGAUGGUGGAGCGGUGAAAUGCGUUGAUAUCAUCUGGAAUACCGGAGGCGAAGGCGGCUCACUGGGGCUUUUCUGACGCUGAGGAACGAAAGCCAGGGUAGCGAACGGG
rnacentral:rRNA from 1 species